UACGUAGGGUGCAAGCGUUGUCCGGAAUCAUUGGGCGUAAAGAGCGUGUAGGCGGCUAGGUAGGUCCGUUGUGAAAACUCGAGGCUCAACCUCGAGACGUCGAUGGAAACCAUCUAGCUAGAGUCCGGAAGAGGAGAGUGGAAUUCCUGGUGUAGCGGUGAAAUGCGCAGAUAUCAGGAGGAACACCGGUGGCGAAGGCGGGUCUCUGGGCCGAUACUGACGCUGAGGAGCGAAAGCGUGGGGAGCGAACAGG
rnacentral:rRNA from 1 species